rnacentral:rRNA from 1 species
AUGCGGGACUCAUCAGAGGCCUCGCAAUUGGAAUGAGCGCACUUUAAAUCGUUCGACGAGGAUCUAUUGGAGGGCAAGUCUGGUGCCAGCAGCCGCGGUAAUUCCAGCUCCAAUAGCGUAUAUUAAAGUUGUUGCAGUUAAAAAGCUCGUAGUUGGAUCUGGGGUUCGGGUCGGCGGUUUGCCGCUUCGGCGGCUACUGCCGUGCUCGACUCUUACUAGCCGGUGCGUCUUGCGGUGCUCUUCAUCGAGUGCCGUAGGAGCCUGGCAUGUUUACUUUGAAAAAAUUAGAGUGCUCAAAGCAGGCGAUUCCGCCUGAAUAGUGUUGCAUGGAAUAAUGGAAUAGGACCUCGGUUCUAUUUUGUUGGUUUUCGGAACUUGAGGUAAUGAUUAAGAGGGACGGUCGGGGGCAUUCGUAUUUCGGUGUUAGAGGUGAAAUUCUUGGAUCGCUGAAAGACGGACAAAUGCGAAAGCAUCUGCCAAGAACGUCUCCAUUAAUCAAGAACGAAAGUCAGAGGUUCGAAGACGAUCAGACACCGUCCUAGUUCUGACCAUAAACGAUGCCAACUAGCGAUCCGCAGUGGUUGCUAUAAACGGACUCUGCGAGCAGCUUCCGGGAAACCAAAGUGUUUGGGUUCCGGGGGAAGUAUGGUUGCAAAGCUGAAACUUAAAGGAAUUGACGGAAGGGCACCACCAGGAGUGGAGCCUGCGGCUUAAUUUGACCCAACACGGGGAAACUCACCCGGUCCGGACACUGUAAGGAUUGACAGAUCGAGAGCUCUUUCUUGAUUCGGUGGAUGGUGGUGCAUGGCCGUUCUUAGUUGGUGGAGUGAUUUGUCUGGUUAAUUCCGAUAACGAACGAGGCUCUAGCCUGCUAACUAGUUGCGCCGUGUUCAUACGCGGCUGUAGACUUCUUAGAGGGACAGGUGGCGUUUAGCCACACGAAAUUGAGCAAUAACAGGUCUGUGAUGCCCUUAGAUGUCCGGGGCCGCACGCGCGCUACACUGAAGGAGUCAGCGUGUGCUAUCCGGGCUCGGAAGAGUUCGGUAACCCGUUGAAACUCCUUCGUGCUUGGGAUUGUGGCUUGUAAUUAUCGCGCAUGAACGAGGAAUUCCCAGUAAGUGCAAGUCAUCAGCUUGCGCUGACUACGUCCCUGCCCUUUGUACACACCGCCCGUCGCUACUACCGAUUGAAUGGUUUAGCAAGGUACUCGGAUUGGUCUCGAUCUUGUACGAAAGUGCGGGAUCUGUGGCC